UUCACUAGUAUUUUCAGUAUAGCAUGUCCAUUCACCUUUUCUUUCAGGAUGUUGGUUGCACAGAAGAGUUUUGCUUUUUAACAUUCUUAAAGCCAUAAUGUUGUCGGUAUAAAUCUGAAAGUUGUUCUAAACAGGACUUGACGGUUCUACGGGUUCGAGUACUGGAAGCAUCCUUUCGUAGAUUAUUCUGCAAGAUAAGUUUUGCCUACAAUACUCCUUCGUGGUGGGACCUUUUCUUGUAUUCCGCUCAACAGGUUGCUUUGUGCACCAGGCUGCCCUUUCGUAGGAAGCUUCUCCAACAGCAUCAGCAGCCACCAUGUCAGGUUGCAUUUAUGGAAGCUCUUGGGACCCUGUUUCAGAACUUCACCCACGAUUACACUAGUCAGCCAAUUUCUCAGAGGAUGCAUCUGGCUUCUCUUUGGACAUGGGCCCCUGCGUGGAGGAGCAAUGAUUGUUUUGUUUGCAUUUGCAUAUUGCUGGCUGGAGUAUAAAUGAAAGUGGCUUUAGACCAUGUGAUGGAAUUGGCCUGUGGAGGAAGCUACUGUCAGAAUAUUGAAGAGGGCAGUGAGACUAGAGUCAAGGAAGGGCAGGGGAAGGAGGACUCGGCAUCGGAGGAGGAGGAGCAGUGGGUGUAACAGGAAGAGGAGAAGGAGCUUUAGACUCUGCCACUAUGGAG